CAAACUCACGUCCCCCCCCCCCCCCCAAGGGGACAUCGAGAUCUCGUCUGAGUGCUGCAUCGUGAGCCUGCUGGACGGUCCAGAGUUGGCCGCCGAGGGCGGAGCUGUGUGGAGCGGUGGCCCACCUCAAUCAUAGGGGGCUUGCCUCAGAAAUCAGGCCACGUGCGUGACUUUUCCAAAACAUCUCGAGACUAAGCCGCAAGGACAGGACACAUUCCAAGUCGCGCCAUGAAAAAGGCGGAUUGUUCGACUACAAGCAACUCACGCACUUUCGUGGUGAUAUAAAUUUAUAGGAGAGUGCUCUAUGAAUGUUUUCAUUUUUUCGCUUGAUCGCUCACGUAAAAGAAAACAAGCAAACAAAUUAGGAGUUCGAUUCUUACUCGCAGCACUUCAUUCAUUGCUGCACCGCCUACGCACAUUCCUGAUGCCAAGAUCCCUGGAGCUCAAAAGCAAAACAUGGAAAUAAAGUAGUAUGAAGUGGC